ACACGACUACAUUAGAUACCCCCGUAGUCCCAGCCGUAAACUAUGCUCGCUAGGUGUCAGGGACGGUGCGACCGUUUCUGGUGCCGCAGGGAAGCCGUGAAGCGAGCCACCUGGGAAGUACGGUCGCAAGGCUGAAACUUAAAGGAAUUGGCGGGGAGCACCACAACGGGUGGAGCCUGCGGUUUAAUUGGACUCAACGCCGGGAAUCUCACCGGAUAAGACAGCUGAAUGAUAGUCGGGAUGAAGACUCUACUUGACUAGCUG
rnacentral:rRNA from 1 species